GUAGCUUAUGUUGUCUUGCACUCUCAGGCUUUUCCUAAUAACGCUACAGAACAGAACUUACCAAAUGUGUCCACCUCUAUGUUGACUCUUUUGGGUUCAGUAAAAGCUGGAUGCUCAACCACACAGAGAAGAUGUCAUCUCUUGGAAGGGCACCAGAGAUCUCCCAUCUAAUCACAGCCUCAGGCUUGGCACCGGAGGCAGAGCAAGUGACAGCAUGGUAGAGGGUCUUAUUCACAACUUCCUUUUUCACAUUUAUGUCAACAUCAGGCCGAGCUUAGAGACAAAAUAGAGAGUCAAAGACACAUGUGUAUUCUCCCUCUUGAUCAAAACUUGUCACGUUCACCUUUACAGUAAGGUUUGUAACUGAUGCCGG